GCUAUGACGCGGUUGCCACGGUAACCUGAUUUAAUUGGGUUCAGGUGGGAGCAUGGAGGAUACGAACAGUUUUGGAGCGUGCCGUGCGUGGUCGGCGAGACGCUGCUGUGACGAUGUUCCAUUCAAGGUCAGCAUCAUUGACCUGCGGUGGACUAAACACCAGUUCAGGACUUGAUCUGAACAACGUCCUUUGAGAAGCCUGUGAGAUGUUAUCAAAAAGUUGUGCUCCUGGACUUUCUGGUGUGUUGGCCACCUCGACAGCGGCGGUCCUAGUGCCCAGGAAGCAGCGUUGGACUUUCCAAAGGUCAAAGCAACAGCGGACCAGACACUGCCUGCUGUUUUCACCCCAUGCCUUAACCUCCAGCUGCAUUCAUGCAGACCGAUCCACUCUCCUUUCAAGACUUAGGCAAUUAGAAGCAAUGCAAAUAAGUAUUAGGGACAUUAUGAAACCAAAUUAAAGGCCUACUGAAACCCACUACUACCGACCACGCAGUCUGAUAGUUUAUAUAUCAAUGAUGAAAUAUUAACAUUGCAACACAUGCCAAUACGGCCUUUUUAGUUUACUAAAUUGCAAUUUUAAAUUUCCCGCGGAGUUUCUUGUUGAAAACGUCGCGGAAUGAUGACGCGUGCGCGCGACGUCCCGGGUUGCAGGGGACAUAUUAGUGCAGCACCAUUUGCAGCUAAAAGUCGACGCAAUUACACAGUAUUCUGGACUUCUGUGUUGCUUAAUCUUCUGCAAUUUGUUCAAUUAAUAAUGGAGAAGUCAAAGUAGAAAAAUGGAGGUGGGAAGCUUUAUCCUUUAGCCACACAAACACGGUGUUUCCUUGUUUAAAAUUCCCGGAGGUGAAGCUUUACUAUGAAUCAGAGCAGUCAAGCGAACAUGGUUCUCGACCACUUGUCAACCGGCAGGUUUCGGUGAGAAAAUUGUGGUAAAAAGUCGCCUCUUACCGGUGAUCAGCUCUCCCGUCCAAAGGCAAAACCCAGUAACACAAUUUUGGUGAAAAACUGAGCUGAUAAUAAUUUUGGAGUUCCUAGGUGAUAUGCUUUACAUUAGUGUAUGCGAUAU